UACGAAGGGGGCUAGCGUUGCUCGGAAUCACUGGGCGUAAAGGGUGCGUAGGCGGGUUUUAAGUCAGGGUGAAAUCCUGGAGCUCAACUCCAGAACUGCCUUUGAUACUGGCGAUCUUGAGUCCGGGAGAGGUGAGUGGAACUGCGAGUGUAGAGGUGAAAUUCGUAGAUAUUGCAAGAACACCAGUGGCGAAGGCGGCUCACUGGCCCGGUACUGACGCUGAGGUGCGAAAGCGUGGGGAGCAAACAGGG
rnacentral:rRNA from 1 species